GGUUCCAUAGUGUAGCAGUUAGCACAAAUACUUUACAAGCAGAAAGUCCUGGGUUCGCACCCCAGUGGAGCCA
rnacentral:tRNA from 1 species